rnacentral:pre_miRNA from 1 species
UAGUAAAAAAAUUAUUUAUUUUUAUAGUUAAAAACUAGUGUUGUUGACAGAAUAACUAGAAAAUUAUAUGUGACAUGUAAUGUAUACCUUAUCCUGACGUACAUGAAUCGAUUUUUAAUAGUAGAAAUAAAUAAAUUUUUUAAUA